AUUGAACGCUGGCGGCAUGCCUUACACAUGCAAGUCGAACGGCAGCACGGGAGCAAUCCUGGUGGCGAGUGGCGAACGGGUGAGUAAUAUAUCGGAACGUGCCCAGUCGUGGGGGAUAACGCAGCGAAAGCUGUGCUAAUACCGCAUACGAUCUAUGGAUGAAAGCGGGGGAUCGCAAGACCUCGCGCGAUUGGAGCGGCCGAUAUCAGAUUAGCUAGUUGGUGAGGUAAAGGCUCACCAAGGCGACGAUUUGUAGCUGGUCUGAGAGGACGACCAGCCACACUGGAACUGAGACACGGUCCAUACUCCUACGGGAGGCAGCAGUGGGGAAUUUUGGACAAUGGGCGAAAGCCUGAUCCAGCAAUGCCGCGUGCAGGAUGAAGGCCUUCGGGUUGUAAACUCCUUUUGUACGGAACGAAACGGUGAGCUCUAAUACAGUGUGCUAAUGACGGUACCGUAAGAAUAAGCACCGGCUAACUACGUGCCAGCCGCCGCCGUAA
rnacentral:rRNA from 1 species